AUUGAACGCUGGCGGCAGGCCUAACACAUGCAAGUCGAACGAGUGGCGCACUGGUGAGUAACGGCUCGGAACAUGCCUGCAGGAGGGGGAUCACUACCCGAAAUGGUAGCUAAUACCGCAUACCAUCCGCUGCGCCCAGAUUGGAUUAGCUAGUAGGUGGGGUAACGGCUCACCUAGGCGACGAUCCCUAGCUGGUCUGAGAGGAUGACCAGCCACACUGGAACUGAGACACGGUCCAGACUGUUACGGGAGGCAGCAGGGGGGAUUUUAGGACAAGGGGGGCAAGCCUGGUCCAGGCAUGCCGCGUGUCUGAAGAAGGCCUUCGGGGUGUAAAGGACUUUCGUCGGGGAGGCGGUACCUGCAGAAUAAGCACCGGCUAACUACGUGCCAGCAGCCGCGGUAAUUC
rnacentral:rRNA from 1 species